rnacentral:lncRNA from 1 species
CCUGUAUUCUCCAGGUAAGGGAAGGGACUUGCCCAGUGUCACACAGCCAGGCAGUGGCAAAUUGGGUUAGAAUUCAGGUCUCUUCUAUGCUAUUUUCCUUCCACUAUAUCAUAGACACCUUUUUGCAAUUGUUAUUUUAAAUUAGGUCAAAUGCCUAAUGUGUAUGCUAAGUAGUCCUUAUUACAAACAUAUAAAGCACACACUUUACAGCUAGAAGGAGCCUCAGUAACAGUCUAAUCCCACUCAUUUCAUUUUACAGAUGAGGAAAACAAUGAGUUUGUUUACCUAAGCCUGUUUAGAAGUGCAUCCCAAUCAGUUGACUGGAUUAUACAACCAACAAUAUAGCUAUUAACAGCCCAGCUUUAUAAUGACCUAUCACUUGGUUUAAGCUCAAGUUGAAACCACGCUUCUGCAUAUCUCAGUCCUGUCACCAGGCCCUGCACCACUUUCAAUCUUGCUCUUUAAUUUGAUCUGUCUUCACUUGUGUGUGACUAGUUUUCCCCUUGGCCCAAACUGCCAAGGUGGCUUUCAGGGUCAUGGGUGUGAGGGAAAUUAGUUGUGGAUUGGAAAGGUGUGCUAUAUAAGAAAGAAAUGAGUGCUGGGGAUUUAGCUCAGUGGUUUCACCGCCUACUGCGCAAGGGUAAGGACCCGAGUUCGAUCCCUGGUACCCCCCCCCCCAAAAAGGAAAGAAAUGAGAUGUUAUCAAGAGCUGUGGAGGGGCUGAGAUUUUACCCUACUUGCAAGCUAACAAGUGAGUCUUCCACAGCUUUAUGGCUGCUGGCAGAAGACACAAGCCUUCUGAAUGCAUCACAAACAAAGGUCUUCUUUACUCACAACAAUAGCAGUAGGUAGAAUGUUGUCAUUUGCUUGUGCUUGUUUUCCCAAGCCCCAGUUCCCAAUGUAAAGAGGGCCUGGUGACAUCUGAACAUACCGUAAAGCACAUCACGAGAGAGGAGCCCUGGGAUUAGAGAAUCAGAAUCUUAAACACCAGACACAAACGUGGAGUAUCAUGAUUGUCUUUAGAAGCAUGGCGGACAUCUUUUCUACUCAUUGGUUGGUUCCCUUAAGCAGAACACACUAAAGAGUUACUUCUAUUACAAAACUGAAAUGGGCAUCCCUUCCCCCUUCCACCACAGUAGUGUGAUGUAAUAAAAAUUUCAGAGAAUUGUAAUUAUCGAGUCUAAAUAUGCACUUAUUUCUUAAAGCAAUAUUGCUUUUCUUACAUGGUACAUUUUGUAUUUAUAAUGUGCCAUUAAUGUCUCAGUAGCAAUUAGAACACAGCAACAGCUGCAACGUGGAGGAUUUCACGUUGCUAGGAGAGCUUGGAUCUUCACGCUCCCAGUCUUUGGGUGAAUGUGUGGCUUCCCGUGAGGUAUUUACACAGACCUGGGGAUCAUUUUCCAGAUGUCCUUUUCCA